rnacentral:rRNA from 1 species
UACGGGGGGGGCAAGCGUUGUUCGGAAUUACUGGGCGUAAAGGGCGCGUAGGCGGCCUGCUAAGUCACACGUGAAAUCCCUCGGCUCAACCGGGGAACUGCGUGUGAUACUGGCGGGCUUGGAAUUCGGGAGAGGGAUGGUGGAAUUCCAGGUGUAGCGGUGAAAUGCGUAGAUAUCUGGAGGAACACCGGUGGCGAAGACGGCAUCCUGGACCGAGAUUGACGCUGAGGCGCGAAAGCUAGGGGAGCAAACGGG